AGAGCGAACGCUGGCGGCAGGCUUAACACAUGCAAGUCGAGCGGGCGUAGCAAUACGUCAGCGGCAGACGGGUGAGUAACGCGUGGGAACGUACCUUUUGGUUCGGAACAACACAGGGAAACUUGUGCUAAUACCGGAUAAGCCCUUACGGGGAAAGAUUUAUCGCCGAAAGAUCGGCCCGCGUCUGAUUAGCUAGUUGGUGAGGUAACGGCUCACCAAGGCGACGAUCAGUAGCUGGUCUGAGAGGAUGAUCAGCCACAUUGGGACUGAGACACGGCCCAAACUCCUACGGGAGGCAGCAGUGGGGAAUAUUGGACAAUGGGCGCAAGCCUGAUCCAGCCAUGCCGCGUGAGUGAUGAAGGCCCUAGGGUUGUAAAGCUCUUUUGUGCGGGAAGAUAAUGACGGUACCGCAAGAAUAAGCCCCGGCUAACUUCGUGCCAGCGAGCCGAC
rnacentral:rRNA from 1 species